AUUCUAGGAUGUAUCCAUUAUUUGCUACUCCUCAUUGAGCACAUCAUGUCUCAUGACGACAAUUCAUAUCACCAAGAUCGCUGAGAAU
rnacentral:snoRNA from 1 species